rfam:Glossina morsitans morsitans, isolate Yale, WGS project CCAG01000000 data, contig: ctg10010305
UUAUUUGAAGGCCGUGGCUUGUUGCAAUUAUGUGUUAAUGCAAAAACAUAUUGCACAAUCCCCGGCCUGUAAAUGA